AUGGCUGGGCAGAGAGGGGGGCUGUCCCUGCCCGGGCCCCUGCUGCUGCUGCUGCUGCUGCUGCUGAGCCUCACCUGCCUCGCCGUGCUGCACCUGGCUCUGGAGACCACUGCCAUGGGUGUGACAGCAACUGUGUCCCCAGCUCUCCCUACCUCCUCAACACCUAUGGAGAGCUCAGCACUGCUGCCUACCACUGACUCCACCACCACCACAGCCACCCUCCUUUCCUCCAGCCCUGAAACAGAAGCCUCCACCUCAGAGGAGUCCAGCACAUCCACAGAGACUGGCAACACCUCUCCUCCCACUGUGCCUUCUCCCACCACAACUACAGAAGAUUCAGCCGAGUCCUUGGCAACCCUGGCAGAUACCACAGCCAGCCCUGUUAUCAGCACAUCAGACCCCAUGAACACUCCCUCUUCAAGCUACCCAGACAGGACCACCCCUGAAAUCUUCCCCUCAACUGUGGAGUUGACUCCAGGCACUGAACCCACUUCCCCUGCCACCAGCUCAGCCCAGACCUCAGAGGCUCCUACCCUCAGCACACCUACAGACCUGCCAACGCUGCCACCAGUCUGCCCCUCUGGCUCGUCCAACACCAGUGCAUCUCACCUCUUUCUGUCUCUGCGGCUAACCACCCCUCUGGACAUGGGGAACACCACGGUGCAGGAGCUGGUGUUGUCCAAGGUGAGGUGUGCAGGAGGAGAUCCCACUCUGCAUCUGCCAGCUGUGGUUCACUCAGGGAGGGGAAUGGCUGCAUCUUGCACUGAAUGUCAUCCAGAGCCCUUUCAGAUUAAGGGGAGACCCUCCUUUGUCUGCCAUAGUCCAGGAUCAGGCCCUUUCUGUGUGGGGACAGGGGUUAGGAAACCCCCCUGGCACAGUUUGAUGUCUGUUCUUUCCCCCCAGCUCCGUGAGGACCUGCAGACAGCAUUCCCGUGUGCUGGCCUGGCACUGGCGUGGCGAGGGAAGAGGAGGACUUGACCACUGCCCCUCGCCUGGCCUGCUCCUGCCUGGAUUGCUGGGACCCCUGCUCCCAGCCCCUCACUCCAUGGUGGUACAGGCCCCUGGGGAAUCCCAUACAGCUCCUCCUGGACCUGGAGCCUCCUGUUCUUCACUCUGUACCCCGAGAGGACCCCCAGUGCCCCUCCUGCCCCGUCCCACGGCCUGUCUGAAGAGCCUGAGCCCUCCCACCACCCUGCUUCAGACCUGAUUCCUGUGGUGGGACCCCCUCCAGGUCUGCUGGGGGGCUGGGAGAAGGGAACCCCAGGGGACUGGGCUUUUACACCUGGGAGUGAGCUGGCUCAGCCAUCUAAGCCACCCUGGGGACAGAGGAAUGAGAGGAAGGAGACCUGAAACCCCCAGUACUGCUGUGCCCAAGGCUCACCUGUGAUACUGCUGAGAGAGGAGAACACCCAUGCUGGGCAGUAAACAGAAAUUCCAUAUUUUUCUGUCUUGAAGUAAUGACUUCUUUAUUUUCCAAGUUGCCUUUCCCAAUUUUCAGCUUUGCCAUGUAUUGGAAGUAGCAGUGAGGAAAACUGAGUCCCAAGACCUUUGCAUGGCUAGAUGGGCUCAGUUCUGGCUGAUGGCUCAGCACUCUGGCAGACUGGUGGUCUCUGCUUUGGGGCUCUCUGCCCCAUGGCACCCCACAGCUGCCCUGUGCACUGUGGAGCUGUGGAAAUCCCUUGGGCAGUGCUCCUUCCCUGUUUUUUCCAGUCCCCAACUAAGGAGAAGGCUGCAACAUCUGUCCCCCUGCAGCAAAGUCAUUUAUUAACUGAUUAAUUAGCCAGAUAAAAUCCAACUGAAGCAAUUAUUAGCCUAAACAAGCCACCUCACCUGGAGAUUGAAAACUGAAAUAAUUAGCAAAAUAGCCUUGUUGCGUGUCAGGGGUUGUUUUUGGCUGAUCCCUGCUUCUCACUGGCAGCCCUCACUGCCCUGGCACAGGGAGGGCUGGGAGGAGGUGUGUGGGGCUGUGGGAUUCCUAACCUGGGGACUUCUCUCAGGCUGCCUGGAUUGUCAGCUGGCUGGGAAGAAGCCAGCAGCUGGACAGGAUGGGGAGAGACACUGUGGGAUCACCCAGCUGUCUGCCAGUUCACAGGGCCUGGGAGAGGUUGGGCUGGAAGCUGUGCCUGGGCAGCUUGUCAGGAUGCUCCCAUUUGGGGUUCCCCUUGCAUUCCAGGGUGGCCCCUUUGCUCUUGAGGAUGCUGCCUGGCUUUUGUGGGCUUGUUGGACCCAUUGAGACUGAGAGAGCUCCCUUAGCAGCUGGGCAAAGAGCCGGGGAGCAGGGCAAAGCCUGUUGGAAGGGGUCCCUGUGCUGGCUGUCUGGUGGGGUGCUGGGAAAGAAAUCCUUGUGGUCUGCCUACGCCUUGGAGCUGGGCCAAGAGUCCUCCCACGUCGCGUCCCACUGGGCUGUUUUCUCCGGCUGUUGAAUCCAUAACUUCAGACCCCGGGACAUGGCUGAGUGCCAGGGCUGGGGUAAUGGAGCCAAACUGCGUCACAAAGGGAGGAAAAGGUCCUGAAGUGCUGGGAUGAAAAGGUGACCAGGGUACUCACUGUUCUCUGCUGGCACAGCUGCCUUCCAGCCUUACCGUGGUUGGGGGGCUGUGUGGGGAGGAGAUGCCCUGGUCCCCUGUCCUAGGGGGACACCCUAAACCAGGACAUCCCCUCUGCCACCAGCCUGGGAGGGACAAGAGGGACACAGUGGGAGGAUGUGGCUUCCAUGGGAGUGGUGUCACUGCCCAGGCAGUGGUGGCACAGAGCUCUGACAAGCCCCUGACACUGCCUGUAUUCUCUGUGCCUGCUGUCCUUGAGGUGCCACCUUCACCCCGUGGCUGCUUGCCUGCCACAGACUGCUGACCAGAGGGGCUUGGGAGGCUGGAUCCAAGUCCUGCUGCUUUCCCAGUCCACAAAAGAGUUCUCAGCCUCUCUGCUGUGAUACACUCCAAUCUCUCAGUAUUGUCCAAAGGAACAAAUCUUGUGCCCAGCGUGACUGUCACCUUUGGAGGACCUGGCAGCAUCAUGGGGCAUGUCUCAAGUCCCUUAUGACUCAGGUGUGCCUUCCAGUGCCCCCUUCCCUUCACCCUGCUGCUGGCUAUAGCCCAGCUCCCACUCUUUGGCAGGAGGGUGUUGCAACACACCCAGCAUGCCAAGUCAUCCAGAACCUUUGGGGUUGAUGGAUAACCUGGUUUUCCCCAUUGCCACCCCUGAGCCCUCUCCAAAUGCCCUUGCCAGGAGGCUGGAGGGGAGCCAGUAGGAGAUGCUGUGUUCUCCACAGGACUGGAACAACCAGCCCAUUAAUUCCAGGAAAGCUGAUAAGACACUGUGCUGGGCCAUGCUCUGCCAUGCUGGAUGGUGCAGAGCCCCUGGGUGCUGGGAUUAAUGGAAUUGCCCCCUGGCUACAGGCUCCUGAAGGGUUCCAGUGCCCACAUGAUGCUUUGGUAACAGCAGAUUGAUGACUCUUACAGGAACCAGCACUUUGCCAGGACCUUGGUUUCAGACAUAGCAAAAAGAUCAAUAAAAAGCCCCUUCCCAGAGUGAUAACA
rnacentral:lncRNA from 1 species